UCGCGCGAUCGCCUUACUGCUCAGUAACACGUGGACGACCUGCCCUUGAGACGGGGAUAAACCCGGGAAACUGGGUAUAAUACCCGAUAGAUCUCGAUUGCUGGAAUGCAUCGAGCUCCAAAGCUCCGGCGCUCAAGGAUGGGUCUGCGGCCUAUCAGGUAGUAGUGGGUGUAGCGUACCUACUAGCCUACGACGGGUACGGGUUGUGAGAGCAAGAGCCCGGAGAUGGAUUCUGAGACACGAAUCCAGGCCCUACGGGGUGCAGCAGGCGCGAAAACUUUACAAUGCUGGAAACAGCGAUAAGGGGACCUCGAGUGCCAGGUUACAAAUCUGGCUGUCGUGAUGCCUAAAAAGCAUUGCAUAGCAAGGGCCGGGCAAGACCGGUGCCAGCCGCCGCGGUAACACCGGCGGCUCGAGUGGUAACCGUUAUUAUUGGGUCUAAAGGGUCUGUAGCCGGCCGGAUAAGUCUCUUGGGAAAUCUGGCAGCUUAACUGUCAGGCUUUCAGGAGAUACUGUCUGGCUCGAGGCCGGGAGAGGUGAGAGGUACUUCAGGGGUAGGGGUGAAAUCUUGUAAUCCUUGAAGGACCACCAGUGGCGAAGGCGUCUCACCAGGACGGACCUGACGGCAAGGGACGAAAGCUAGGGGCACGAACCGGAUUAGAUACCCGGGUAGUCCUAGCCGUAAACGAUACUCGCUAGGUGUCGGCAACGGUGCGACCGUUGUCGGUGCCGUAGGGAAGCCGUGAAGCGAGCCACCUGGAAGUACGCCGCAGGGCUGAAACUUAAAGGAUUGGCGGGGAGCACAAGGCGAAUUCGUUAAACUGCAGACUAGUCCUUUAGUGAGGUAAUCUGAGCUGCGUAAUCAUGUCAAUAGCUGUUUCUGUUGGAAUUGUAUCCGCUCACGAUCCACACACAACGAGCGGAGGCAUAGUAAGCCUGGUGCCUAAUGAUGAGCCUAACCUCCACAUAAUGAGC
rnacentral:rRNA from 1 species